GACGAACGCUGGCGGCGUGCUUAACACAUGCAAGUCGAACGGAAAGGCCCUGCUUUUGUGGGGUGCUCGAGUGGCGAACGGGUGAGUAACACGUGAGUAACCUGCCCUUGACUUUGGGAUAACUUCAGGAAACUGGGGCUAAUACCGGAUAGGAGCUCCUGCCGCAUGGUGGGGGUUGGAAAGUUUCGGCGGUUGGGGAUGGACUCGCGGCUUAUCAGCUUGUUGGUGGGGUAGUGGCUUACCAAGGCUUUGACGGGUAGCCGGCCUGAGAGGGUGACCGGCCACAUUGGGACUGAGAUACGGCCCAGACUCCUACGGGAGGCAGCAGUGGGGAAUAUUGCACAAUGGGCGGAAGCCUGAUGCAGCAACGCCGUGUGCGGGAUGACGGCCUUCGGGUUGUAAACCGCUUUCGCCUGUGACGAAGCGUGAGUGACGGUAAUGGGUAAAGAAGCACCGGCUAACUACGUG
rnacentral:rRNA from 1 species